rnacentral:rRNA from 3 species
UACGGGGGGAGCAAGCGUUGUUCGGAUUUACUGGGCGUAAAGGGCGCGUAGGCGGUCAGCACAAGUCAGUUGUGAAAUCUCCGAGCUUAACUCGGAAAGGUCAACUGAUACUGUGCGACUAGAGUGCAGAAGGGGCAACUGGAAUUCUCGGUGUAGCGGUGAAAUGCGUAGAUAUCGAGAGGAACACCUGCGGCGAAGGCGGGUUGCUGGGCUGACACUGACGCUGAGGCGCGAAAGCUAGGGGAGCGAACGGG